rnacentral:rRNA from 1 species
AUACGGAGGGGACUAGCGUUGUUCGGAAUUACUGGGCGUAAAGAGUUCGUAGGCGGAUAAGCAAGUAAGAGGUGAAAGCCCAGGGCUCAACCCUGGAACUGCCUUUUAAACUGUCAGUCUAGAGACCGGAAGAGGUUAGGGGAAUACCUAGUGUAGAGGUGAAAUUCGUAGAUAUUAGGUGGAACACCAGUGGCGAAGGCGCCUAACUGGUCCGGUACUGACGCUGAGGAACGAAAGCGUGGGGAGCAAACAGGAUUAGAUACCCUAGUAGUCC